GGUGGUGACUUGUAGUAAUAUGGCGGUGGAGGUGGUGACUUAUAGAUAUAAGUUGGCGGUGGAGGUGGUGGAGACUUGUAAAUGUAAGUGGGAGGAGGUGGUGGUGGGGAAGUGUAAUAGUAAGGAGCAGGUGUGGGCUUAGGCUUAGGCUUCUCACACUCCUCAUAAGGGGUCUUAGGAGCAUAAGCAAAUGGCUUAGCAUAGAGGACAACUUCAUACUUUGUCUUGGACUUCACCUUGAGCUCGGCACCCUUCUUGCCCCAGUGAAGGUUAGUUGGAAUGUUACAUGGUGAGUCUUUGGGUGCCUUAUGGAGCUUGGCCUUGCAAGCCUCGGCUCCAUAUUUGCCAUACUCAAAGCCCUCGACGGUGAUACUGUAUUUUCCGUUGAUCUUGGUUUUGCCAUAGGCCUUGAUCUCCUUUUCACCUACCUUGCAUGUGACCUCCACUACAGCACCUUUGAGAUGCUUCUUGUCGUGUGAUUUCUUAGGAUAAUCCCAGUCAUAGCACCUGUAGCAGUACACCUUUCCUACCACCUUCACUACGAAAUGAUGGGGAUGGGGAUGUGGGUGAGGGUAAGGGACGGGUGGUGGUGGAGAAGUGUAGUAGUAUGGUGGAGGAUAAGCCUUAGGUGGUGGUGGAGAAGUGUAAUAGUAUGGAGGGGGAUAAGCCUUAGGUGGUGGUGGUGAUUUGUAAUAGUAUGGUGGGGAAGGAGAUGGUGAAGGAGGAGGUGGAGACUUAUAGUAAUAAGGAGGGUGAGGAGAUGGUGAGGGUGGUGGUGGAGACUUGUAGUAGUAAGGUGGCGGUGGUGAAGGUGAGGGUGGUGGGGGAGACUUGUAGUAAUAUGGUGGUGGUGGUGAUGGAGAUGGAGGUGGUGGGGACUUAUAGUAAUAGGGUGGAGGAGGAGAUGGUGAUGGUGGGGGAGGAGACUUGUAAUAGUAUGGGGGUGGAGGAGAGGGUGAUGGAGGUGGUGGAGACUUAUAGUAAUAUGGUUCCGGUGCUGGUGAUUUUGUGGGUGGUGGUGGAGAUUUGUAGUAGUAGGGUGGAGGAGGAGAGGGCGAUGGUGGGGGAGGAGAUUUGUAGUAGUAUAGAGGUGGUGGUGAGGGAGAUGGGGGUGGUGGUGACUUAUAGUAGUAGGGUGGAGGAGGAGAUGGCGAUGGUGGGGGAGGAGAUUUGUAGUAGUAUAGAGGUGGUGGUGAGGGAGAUGGGGGUGGUGGUGACUUAUAGUAGUAGGGUGGAGGAGGAGAUGGCAAUGGUGGGGGAGGAGAUUUAUAGUAGUAAGGAGGUGGUGGUGAUGGAGAUGGGGGUGGUGGUGAAUUAUAGUAGUAAGGUGGAGGAGGAGAUGGCGA
rnacentral:misc_RNA from 1 species